rnacentral:rRNA from 1 species
GAUGAACGCUAGCUGGAGGCUUAAUACAUGCAAGUCGAGGGGCAGCACGAUGUAGCAAUACAUUGGUGGCGACCGGCGGACGGGUGCGUAACACGUAUGCAACUUGCCCUAUACUAGGGAAUAGCCCGAAGAAAUUCGGAUUAAUACCCUAUAACAUCUGAAAAGGCAUCUUUUUGGGUUCAAAGCUCCGGCGGUAUAGGAUGGGCAUGCGGUCGAUUAGCUUGUUGGUGAGGUAAUAGUUCACCAAGGCGACGAUCAAUAGGGGGCCUGAGAGGGUGAUCCCCCACACUGGUACUGAGACACGGACCAGACUCCUACGGGAGGCAGCAGUAAGGAAUAUUGGUCAAUGGGCGCAAGCCUGAACCAGCCACGCCGCGUGAAGGAAGACGGCCCUAUGGGUUGUAAACUUCUUUUCUACGGGAAUAAACCUCAGGACGUGUCCUGAGCUGAAGGUAUCGUAGGAAUAAGGAUCGGCUAACUCCGUGCCAGCAGCCGCAGUAAAAC